UACGUAGGGGGCAAGCGUUGUCCGGAAUCACUGGGCGUAAAGGGCGCGCAGGCGGUCGUUCAAGUCGAGUGUGAAAGCCCCCGGCUCAACUGGGGAGGGUCAUUCGAUACUGAUCGACUCGAAGGCAGGAGAGGGAAGCGGAAUUCCCGGUGUAGUGGUGAAAUGCGUAGAUAUCGGGAGGAACACCAGUGGCGAAGGCGGCGACCUGGGCCAAUAUUGACGCUGAGGUGCGAAAGCGUGGGGAGCAAACAGG
rnacentral:rRNA from 1 species